CUUCACCUGAAAAAAAUAUAUGCUAAGACACCAUGGACCAAAUGGUACCUGUUGGACAUAUGUCCCUCCCCUGGGGCUGAGUAAUAGCCAUUUCAAAAACGUCUGCCCUCUUUACCCCACUCUGCAUUAUGUGCUUUUGUCUU